ACAGAGAGCUUGCUCUCGGGUGACGAGUGGCGGACGGGUGAGUAAUGUCUGGGAAACUGCCUGAUGGAGGGGGAUAACUACUGGAAACGGUAGCUAAUACCGCAUAAUGUCGCAAGACCAAAGAGGGGGACCUUCGGGCCUCUUGCCAUCAGAUGUGCCCAGAUGGGAUUAGCUAGUAGGUGGGGUAACGGCUCACCUAGGCGACGAUCCCUAGCUGGUCUGAGAGGAUGACCAGCCACACUGGAACUGAGACACGGUCCAGACUCCUACGGGAGGCAGCAGUGGGGAAUAUUGCACAAUGGGCGCAAGCCUGAUGCAGCCAUGCCGCGUGUAUGAAGAAGGCCUUCGGGUUGUAAAGUACUUUCAGCGGGGAGGAAGGUGUUGUGGUUAAUAACCACAGCAAUUGACGUUACCCGCAGAAGAAGCACCGGCUAACUCCGUGCCAGCAGCCGCGGUAAUACGGAGGGUGCAAGCGUUAAUCGGAAUUAC
rnacentral:rRNA from 1 species